rnacentral:misc_RNA from 1 species
GCCACCAACAUCCGGCUUCUUCAAUCUCUCUAAGCUAAGUGAAAAGGUUGUGACGAGGGUGUGUAGAGCGCGGUAUAAAAUAGUUAAAAUAGAGAUAAAAUUUGUAGUUUUUUCCCGCAAGUGUGUGCAAAUCAUUUUCUAGAUAGGAGGAACACUUUAAAACAGAACCGACCAUGUCGUCGGAACAAUUUUCCCUAUGUUGGGACAACUUCCACAAGAAUAUGAGUUCUGGCAUGAACUCAUUGUUGGAGAAUGAAGACUUGGUGGACGUGACGCUUGCCGUGCAGGGAAAAUGUCUGAAAGCCCACAAAAUGGUUCUUUCUGUGUGUAGUCCCUAUUUCAAAGAACUUUUUAAAUCAAAUCCUUGUAAACACCCCAUAGUAUUUAUGAAAGACGUUAGUUACGAAGCUUUAAGUGAUCUAUUGCAAUUUAUGUAUCAAGGGGAGGUUCAAGUGAGCCAAGAAAAUUUAACCACGUUCAUUAAGACUGCCGAGGCCUUACAAAUUAAGGGGCUCACUGGAGACGGAAAUGGCUCAACUGACAGUGACGUUGUGGAAGUACCUGCAGAAAAACGUACUCCACACGUGGAGGAUUACAAGCCAGUUUCUGUACCUAGACCAAAGAAACAACAACCUCCUCCCGCCCCAAUGUCAUCCCCUUCUGUGAAGAGACAAAGACUGAGUGCUUCAACUAGUGAUACCCAACCCUUACCCCCUCCUGUUACAAAAGUGGAACCCAUUGCCCCUCCUCAACCUGUUCCUAUUUCAACACCCGAAUCUUCACCUCUACAUUUUAAGACAGAACCCUAUGAACAGUCAGUCAGCCUUCUAGAUGAGACAGGUGAUGACACUUUUAACGAAGAUACACUGGAUGAGACUGUAGGCGAUGACAAUGAAGAUUACUCUAUGAUGGAAAGUGGUAGUGGAGAAGAACCACAGGCAGGAACUAGUACUGAUGGAGCAGGCGAAGGACAAGGAUUUUAUGAAUUUAUUCGAGAUGACUCCAAAGAAUCUUUAAUACUUCAUGGACAAGUUUACCAAUUCAUAAAAGAAAACGGCGGAAUUAAAUUUUGGCAGUGUUUUAAACAACAAUGUGAGGCGAUGUGCCAAACCAAGAAUGGAAAACUUAUCGUUAGGCAAGGAUUACAUGAUCAUAGUGUGCCUAGAAAAUAUAUUGCUAAAAUGCGAGAAGAAAAGAAAAUCAUUAAGAAGAAAUUGUAGUGUUUGUUCUGUAUAACUGUAAAAAUAUACAGAGUGAGUUUUAUGUACGGAACGCCUUAAUUAUCUUGGAAACGGUUUGUAUGAUUUUUAUAGAUUUUGGUGUGUAAAGGUCUUUGAUGCGGUCGAUAUUAUGGUGCUAUUUACAUUGUUAUCAGAUCUUCCGUGUUUCUGAAAAUCUUAUGAAUUUUCUUAUUUUAAAUAGAACACCCUGUAUAUUUUCACGUAUAUUUCCUAUACCUAAAUGCCAUAAUUUCGGAGUUAUUUGCUAAAUGUACAAAAAUUUGCCGCCGGCAAAGCGGCAAGUGAGUAAGUGAGCAAGACGAUGCUGUCGUCACAUUCCAUUCCUGAGAGUCGUUCGGUAAAUGAGUUGUGAGGACAUUGGAGAGGAACUGAUGUGAACACCUCACUCGCGUCAAUAUGGUUUUUCGGGCUAUAUUUCCGGCAGCGGCAGCAGCAGUGGCGAUGGCUGAGUAUAAAUCCGGCAUUAAUGGCCAACGUUCGCAAGGGGCAGGGCACUUGAAGAAGAAGUACUUUGAAAAAACAUUUGAACAAAGUUAUAAAAAUCAAUUUUUCGAUCCAGCCAGAUAUUAUUUCAAGUUUUUCGGAACAAACAAGGUCCGUGUAAUUUUUCUCUAAAGUUGAUCGUUUUCGAGUUAUAAACAAUUUAAAACUGCAAAAAAACGAAAAACGACGAUUUUCAAGGCUCACAAGCUUCUUUCUCAUAAUCCUUAGUGCCCUUCAGGGCGUCGGAUGUCGGGUUCCGCCUUUUAUCCACUUCUUCCAAUUGCUUCUAUUGGUGGCCAGGUUCUUCAUAUCCCUCAUACUCAUGUGUCUCCUUUUACCUAUAUCCUGGAUCUGGCCCAUCCAUGUCUUCCUCGGCCUUCCCUUUUUUCUUUUGUUUUCCAUUUUGGCUUCAUGUACCUUCUUUGUAAGUCUUUUUUGCUCCAUUCGUUGUAUGUGUCCAAACCAGCUUAUCGGUUCUUGUUCCAGCUCUCUUCUUAUAUCUUCAUUUCUGAAUCUAUCAAACUUCGUAACUCCAGCUAUUCUUCUCAUGUAUUUCAUCUCGGUCGCGUUUAUCAUUGAUUCAUGUUUCUUUUGCACAAUCCAUGUUUCCGCCCCAUAUGCCAUUAGCGGAUUUACUAUGCUGUUAUAUACUCUGAGUUUAGUUUUGUUGUUUAUUUCUGAUUUUCCAAAAAUUGUAUUAUUUAAAGAGUAAUACACGUUAGUUGCCUUCUUCAGUUUAUUACUUAUUGCCAAGUCCGUUUUCCCACCAUCUGUUAUUAUAUUUCCCAAAUAUUCAAAAGUAGAUACGUGUUCUAUUACUUGUUCCCUUACUAUUAUAUUAGUAUUCCUUUUCGUUUUUCUCAUCUUCAUUUAUUAUCAUAAGUUUAGGCUCACAAGCAAAAGUAAAAAAAUAUUAUUUUUGAAAUAAUAUUGUGCCUAAAUAUAACGAAGUGCCUAAAUUAGUUCAAACCUAAUUAUAUCAGUUACCGAUAACUAUUUUGGGCUUAUUUUUAGUUGUUAAUGAAGCCCAAUCUCACGUUCUCGCAUAAGCGCUUUAUUAUAAAUUAAAAACAAUAUUUUAGAAUAAAACAGGCCAACAAUUCUUAUCGGGAGCUGAUAGAAAAAAGUUUAGAAGGAUAACAGUUUUUAUCGCCAACCGUCACCAAAGUCGUUCAUUAUUGUACUCAUUUGCCCUCAUUUGCGGCAGUAAAAUAACACUUUAUUCUACUGAAAAAAGAAGUGCUUUACCUGCCACGAUUAUUAAUCAAAUUAACCGAGAUUGAAUGUAAGUGGUCUAUGGCAGUAAUCGAUUAUUUAUUUGAGUGAACUUAAAAUUUAUUUACUUUAAUUAUUACAAAUGUACAAAAUUUACGUAAUUAUUAAUUAAAUUUAUCUCAAAAACUGAAAUUCUUAAUAUUUUGCAAUUAUAUUCAUACAAAAUAAAUGAAAACUUUAUAGAUUUAGUAAUUAUUCAAUAUUAAUAACAACUAUCGAUUAAACAUCGAAACCGGCCAUUAUGCAAAAACCAUCUGUCAUUACAGUCAUACGAAAUUUUUAUAUCGUCUAAAUUAAAAAAAAAUCUUAAAUCUUUUAAGUUAAUGCAAAUAAAGUGAGAAAUAGUGAUUUUGUUAAUUGGAUUAUAAUAUAUAGGACUGUGAUAGAUGUUUACUGAUAAUUUGGCAGUAAAUAUAUUUAUUUAGAUUUUCUACGAUUCAUCAAGGGAAAAGUAAUUGCGGGGAGGCUACAGUUCAUAAACAAUGACGUAACUGUUAACGUUAUUUUUAAUUUUUGGUAUUAUUUUAAGUAUUAAAAUUAGUUUAAUAUUUAAAUAAAAAUACCAUUUAAUUCUUUAAAAUAUAUUUAUUUCGUUGAAAUCAUAAUAAUAGAGGUAUAACUUCUUACGUGCAUAGAAAGUACACACACAUUAUUUUUUCAUUAGAAGGAUGUAAUUAAGUAAGUGUUAAGUAAGUGUUAAUGUUUUUUAUGAUUGAUAAAAUUUUGUAUGCACCACGUCAGUAAAGACUCUUCAUCGAACUCGUUUGAUAAAGAGCCACUUUACUGACUUGGUGCAUAUAUUUGUACUUUGGUACAUAUAUAACUAUUACUUGUGUUUUUGAGCCUCGAAAAUCGUAAUUUUUCGUUUUUUCCAGUUUUAAUUUGUUUAUAACUCGAAAACGAUCAAUUUUAGAGAAAAGUUAGUAGAGAAGUUUAUGUUUCGAAUGGUCCAAAAAUCUAGAAUACUAUCUACGCGGGCCUAAAAAAAUAUUUAAAAAGAAUUAUUGUUUAAGGAAAUGUAGCAAUAACUCCGAAAUUAUCGUAGUUAGGUAUAGGGAACAUUAUAUGAAAAAUAAUCAGUAUUUCUUAAGGACUUAAAAAACUGAAGAUCUGGCAACAACGUAAAUACCACCACAAUAUCGGCCGCAUCACAAGACAUACCAAAUAAUUUAUUAAUCUUGCAAACCGUUUUCGACCUAAUUGACGCGUUCCAUAUAUAAACUGUUCUGCAAAUUUUCAAUAGGAAACAAACUGAAGUGUAACAAGCUAUCGUGAGACUCAUUAAUAUUCAAUUGAGCAGGGUACUAUUGUACAAGUCAUGAUAUUCCAUAAAGAAGGAAUUUACCUGUUUUAUGGAAUGAUCCCUUGUUUGUAAUAUUUCGCACUUCGAAUAAUAAUAUCCCGCUGAACUGAAUAUUAAUGAGUCUCUUAGAUAACUUGUUAGACUAGGGACAAGGUAUUGAUAUACAUUGUUUUAGAAAAAAAUUGUUUUUCAAACAUUCCACAAACUUUCUUGUAACAUGCACAAGCAAACGAAAACAUUGUUUAAACGAAUGUUUUGCCGAAUUUGUGACAGGAAAUCUUUAUCUUAAUCUUAUUGUUAAUCUUAAUCUUCAAGUAACUUCAAGUAUGUUCGCUUUUGUUUCCUUGAUUUUUUUUUCGUAAUUUCCGUGAUACUGCAUAAAAAUUUAAAAUCCAGUACAGUAAAACCUCGAUAUAACGGACUAAUUGGGGAAAAUUGUCCGUUAAAGCCGAAAGUCCGUUAUAUAAAAAUAGGUUUAAAAUAAAUCUGACUAUUUAGACAUGUGUCCUCAUUAUGCUAUAAUAAAAAGUUUAUUGAAAUUCUUUGUAAAAUAUAGCGUUUGGAUCCACGAGGACCCCGUUUUUAUGCAAUGUAUCUUGGUAUGGGCAGGGUUAUGUAUGUAUAAUAUUAACAGGACGUUUUUAAUUUGUUUACAUUUGACCGGAUUUUUGGUCCGUUACAUCCGAAGUCCGUUAAAUAGAGGUGCGUUAUAUCGAGGUUUUACUGUAGUUGGCUCGAUACCAUAGUUUAGAAACUUACAAUGAAAUAAAAAAACCUCCAAUGCAUGAUAGAUCCGAAUGGAUUACAAUUUUUCAGAACGUUUUCGGUCCAGUUUUCAGACUAUCAUCAGUGAAACAUUCUAUUAGUACCUAGUUGAACCUAGGCCACAUUUUGGUUAAUAAAGCCUUUAAAUUGCAUUGUAAUAAUAGUAAAUUGUAUCAUUGAUAUGGCACUAGGUCGGUGUUAAAGGGAACAUAUACAGGGUGUAUCAUUAAGGAUGUCCAAUUUCUGAGUUAUAAAUUCUAGACCUCAAAAUAUUAAGAUUUAAUCCAAACCAUUUAAAUAAAAUAUGGCUCCUUACUGAGUUACAUGGUGCUCUAUUUAAAAAUUUAAAAACUAUUUUUACCCAGUACUUUAAAACUAUUUGACGUAUCCUUAUCAUACUUGGCAAAAAGUGUGGCUACUAUAAACGCUAGUAAAUUAUGAUAGAUCAACGUUUCUAGCUACUAGCUCAUGCGUACGACGGGAUAGUGAAUGGUUGACCCUUCCCAAAUUCUACGUCAAUGGGGGAAUUACUAUUUUAGCACAAUUUUUAGAUUUUCCAAUACUUUCUAUGUAAAUAAUAUACUCUUCAUUGGGACCGAUAAAGUCAAUAGUUUUCGAGAUAUUUUAAAUUAAAAAUGAAACGGCACAGCUAUUUUGAUUAACGUUCAUAUUGUGUCGCUUCAUUUUUAACUUCAGAUAUCUCGAAAACUGAUGAUUUUAUCGUUAUGAAUGAAGAGUAUAUUAUGUAUUAUAAAGUAGUUUAUACUUCAUUUACUUCAUGAAGAGUAUAUUAUUUACAUAUAAAAUAUUGGAAAAUCUAAAAAUUACACUAAACUAACAAUUCCGUCAGUGGCGUAGAAUUCGGGAAGGGUCAACCAGUCACUUUCCCCUGUCGUACGCCUCCGGUAGUAGCCGGAAACGAUUAUUUAACAUAAUUUAGUAGGUUAUGAUAAGGAUACGUUAAACAGUUUUUAAGUACAGGGUACAAAUAGUUUUUAAAUAUUUAUCAUAUCAUAAAUUAAUGGAAAUAACUGUGCCGUUUCAUUUUUAACUUCAAAUAUCUCGAAAACUAAUGACUUUAUAGCUACCAACAAAGAGUAUAUUAUUUACAUAGAAAGUAUUGUAGAAUCUACAAAUUGUGCUAAAAUAGUAAUUCCCCCAUUUUCGUAGAAUUUGGGAAGGGUUAACCAUUCACUAUGCCCUGUCGUACGCCUCUGGUAGUAGCUAGAAACGUGUAUUUAUCAUAAUUUAGUAGGGUGUAUAGUAGCCACACUUUCUGCCAAGUAUGAUAACGAUACGUCAAAUAGUUUUAAAGUACUGGGUAAAAAUACUUUUUAAAUUUUAAUAAAACACGUUGUAACUCAAUAAGGAGCCAUAUUUUGUUUAAGUGAUUUGGGUCAAAUCUUAAUAUUUUGAGGUCUAGAAUCUACAACUCAGAGAUUGGACAUUCUUAAUGAUACACCCUGUAUAUGCUCCUGCUCGAAAAAAGCGCAGUUCGCCCGAUGAGUGAUACAAACCAACAACUUAUUUGCAACACUUAGGCUCGUACAUAUAAGGGCGGUUUGUCAACGUUGACGUCGCAGUUUACCUGAAAAACCCAACCUCCGCGGUUCAAGUUAACAUAGAAACAAAUGCAGUCGCUCAACAUCGUACAUAUGCAACCACCAGUUUACCUGCGUUUAAACUGGUAAAUCGCGGCGUCGACGUUGGCAAACCGCUCUUAUAUGGGUAAAAAUCGGUGAAAAAUGGGACAUCUUGGAUUUUAAAGCACCCUAUGUAACGCACAGCCGGCACAGCUGAAUGUGGCUGAAUUUUUAUGUUUAUGCAUCACAGUGUUGCCAUGCUGUUUUUUAUAUAUUUCUUUCAUAAUUUCAAUCAAUGUUAAAUGUACCUACAAGAAUAAUAGAAUAAUAACAUUUACUUCUCCGUCAUUAUACUAGGUAUAAUGACAAAUGAGGUGUCAAAUUAAAGCUUAUAAUCCAAGGAUAGUACUAAAGGUAAGAAAUUAGACUAGAUUGUCUGUCCGUCUGUCUGUCUGACCGCGAAUAUAACUCCUCCGUCACUAUACCAGGUAGAAUGACAAAUGAGGUGUCAAAUGAAAGCUUAUAAUCCAAGGAUAGUACUGAAGGUGAGAAAUUUGACAUAGGUUGUCUGUCCGCCUGUCCGUCCGACCGCGAAUAUAACUCCUUCGUCACUAUACCAGGUAGAAUGACAAAUGAGGUGUCAAAUGAAAGCUUAUAAUACAAGGAUGGUACUAAAGGUGAGAAAUUUGACAUAGGCUGUCUGUCCGUCCGACCGCGAGUAUAACUCAUCCGUCACUAUACCAGGUAGAAUGACAAAUGAGGUGUCAACUGAAAGUUUAUAAUCCAAGGAUAGUAGUAAAGGUGAGAAAUUAGACCUAGGUUGUCUGUCUGUCUGUCCGCGAAUAUAACUCCUCCGUCACUAUACCAGGUCGGACGGACAGGCGGACAGACAGCCUAUGUCAAACUUCCCAUCUUUAGUACCAUCCUUGGAUUAUAAGCUUUCAUUUGACACCUCAUUUGUCAUUCUACCUGGUAUAAUGACGGAGGAGUUGAGUUUGCAAACAGACAGACAAGACGUACGGACGGACAGACGGACGUGGACAAUUCAAUGUUACAUUUUUUCAAAGUGAAAACAACAACAUAAUAAACUUUACUUAAUUGGUGUUUCAAAACUACUUACUUUUAACACAUUAGGUACACAAUAUUACAAGGUUUCUAGCAAGUUAAACGUCACAAUAAUUUAAAAUAAUCAAGUAAAAACCUAUAUAUACAUAACAUAUUAGAACAUACCUAAAAUACACAAAAAUGAUACAUUUCACACACAAAUAUAAUAUCACAAAAAAUUGUAACGUGAUAGUAUGAAAAAAUAGAGGAUACGGCAACGGUGUUACAUGUGACGGUCGGCCCGGGUCGGAUUCAAUGCCAAUAUCUACACAGACGUAUUAGGGUGCUUUAAUAUCCAAGAUGUCCGAAAAAUGAAUGGGUAAAGUUCAGGCGAAUAUUAGUUAAAUAUUAGUAGGCAAUACGGCAAAGAGAAUUGAUGGCGUUUUAAAAUGUAAGGGUUCUCCGCACAGUGGUAGUGCUGACUAAAUAUUUGGUCCAAUUCAUUUGUGCCAGACGUUACUUUUUCUUUUAGUUUAUUUUAUGAUUAUCAUAGUUAAAAAUAGUCUUAGAUAUUAAGAUAUUAUUGAAUAAUUGGUAAUCUCUAUUGGAAACACUAACUCUGACAAAAGGAACAAUAAAUAAAAUAAGAGUUACACACCUCGUUAUGGAAAGAUCAAUGUAGGUGCUGCCAUCAGAGAUCAAAUACGAAACCCAGAAAUAAGAAGAAGAACAGGAGUCAUGGAUAGCGAUGGCUAAAUCGGUUUGGGUCGAACAAGUUGCCAGAUUGACGGAUGAUAGAUGGACUAGAAAAGUUCUGGAAUGGCGACCAAGUCAAGAUGCAUUUGGAGGCAGACGACGAUCACGCGACUAGACGAACGGAUGAUAUAAAUCGCAUCACCACAAAUUGGAUGCAAGAAGCUUAAGAUAGAAAUAAGUGCAAUAUUUAACGGGACGCCUACGUUCAACAGUGGACAAAUACAUGUAGGCUAAUUGACGAGUGGCCCCUUUGAAAACUAUGGGGAAUUCUUACUUGCGUUUCUUCAUUGUAAUUUAAUAAGCGUGACGAGUUUCUAUGCAAGUUGUUAAAAUAUGAAAUUUGUUAUAUAAGUAUCACGUUUGAUCUGAUGCCCCCUGCUGAAAAUUUCCAGAACAACACUACGUAUAUUUAGAGAAUUAAAUAGUUAUCAGUGAUUCAUUUCGAAGUUCGUGGAUCAUUACGGAAUUUGAGGAGAAAUGGUAGUAAAUUCAGUGGCGCGCCAUUUAGACGCAAUGGCGUCUAAAUUUAUACUAUAAUUUUACGUGUACAAUUCUAUAUUGUUAUAAUUAUGCUAUUAUUUUGGGAAGCAAUAAGUAACAUUGUAUGCAACAAUUCCCUGCCAACUAUUUCGGUCUUUGAGUGUAUACCUCUUUUUGCCACAAUAGUUCUUAAUAAAAAAAUACUGUAAAGAGCAAUUUUAUAAGGUAUUAUUAUUCCGUAUUAUUUUUAAUUUUGAGAUCUUGAUUUAUGUGCAUCGUUUUAUGUCGUUAAUUUAUUGAUUUUAGUUUUAAUAAAUGUGAGUCUCAAAAUACACUGGUUGAUAUAUUAUUAUAGUAGGGGAGGAACGUAUGCUGAAUUUGCAGUUACUCGAGCGUUAUGGGGACCUAUUGGGUUGUGAUUAUUAGGUGCUAAAACCAAAAAAGGUAAGUUUUCCAUUUUAGUGGGGACUUUCCAUUGUUUAUUUAAUUUUCCAUUUCCAACAAUCGUUUUCACCGAUUAUAGUGCCAUCUAUCCAUAAUUCGAAAAAAUGUCUCGAAUAAAAGUUGCUUAUUUUUACGUAAGGAAUCCAAAUCUGCAAUAAAAAUUUGGGGCUCCUAUUUAAGAUUUUUAAGUAACCCCCCACCCCACCUCCGUGGGAGUCGUGUUUGAUACCAUUCGAUAGAUUUUCCAAAAAUUAAUAGUUAAGUGUAUUUUGCAGAUUUUCGAUCUGAUGUUCAUUUCGAGAAAUAUCGCGGGUUCGUAUUUAAAAUUUUAAAUUUACCCCCACCCCUCUCCGUGAUUGUCGUGUUUGGUAUCAUUCGAUAGAUUUUUGAAAAAUAUUGAACACGUUUUUUUAGGUUUUUGAUCUGACGUUCAUUUCGCUAAAUAUUCGCUUUUGUUUUGUGAAACUUUUUCGCACAUUUUCUUACGGCCCGCUCAAAUCGUCAAAUUUCUGAAAUAUACACUCUUGCAUGUAUACUUCGUCUAAUUUACUUACCGUUGCACGUCAUCCGCGUCAUAGACUGUGACGUCACAUGAUACCAACACGACAUAUUUAGGCGGUAGGUGUGUUUUUUUAGAAUCAUUUUGCCGAGUACACUGGAAUAACAGCCACUAGACAUAUUUUAUUAUAUACGCUUAGAUAUAAUAUUUGAAUAUUUCUAUUAAUGUUAACUUAAAGAAAUACACAAUAAUAUGUUUCAAUUUAAUUUGUAUAAAUGGAUUAUAAAGCGUUUUUAUAAAGCACAUUUGUUCGGAACACACUGAAACUGUAAUCGAACGAAGGUGAAAUUGUAGAAUAAAUUGGUAACAUUUAUUUGACAGUUGCGGUGAUGACACUUCAUAUUUGUUUAUAUUCUUUACUAUAAGUGUUUGUUUUAUUAUAUUUACUGUUUUUAUUAUUUACUUUAACGUAAGAUUAUAACUUAAUUCUUGUUCUAUAUUUUUUAAGUUUUUAUUUAUUUGCAUUGAAUAUUAAUUUGUUUUGUUGUAUAAUGCACGUUUACAAUAAUUAUGUGAUCUAUUUGAUUUAAAUGCAUUCAGGAUUUUUUUAUACUUUGGCAACUGUCAACUUAGAUCUCUGGCGUAGACAAUGACGUGCAACGGUAAGUAAAUUAGACGGACUGUACUUAACUUACCUUAUCUUAAACUGACUAUUUCGAGUUUUUGUAAGGAUAUAAUUUUUUUUCGGACUCACCUUAACGAACUCCCCGUGUUAAGAGCCAAUUUAUGGUAGAGGUACAUCUGCAGGGUACCAGGUUUCUCCCUAUAUGAUAAUCUGAAGCGCUCGAGUAACUGCAAAAAUCCCCGCUUGGGCUCCCCUACCAUUACGUAUAGUACCUACUUAAUUUGAUGAACAUUUUUAUGUAAUAGAUUAGAGUUAGAAGUUUUACUGUUAAUUUUAUUUGGAUUACCGUGUGAUGGGUACCAGGUGACGGGUCACACGUUUUUAUAACUUAUAACUCGUUUUUUAUAAGGUAAAUAAAAUCAGCUAUGUGCAAAAUCUGAAUCUUUUAAUAAUAAAGCAAUUUUAUUUAAA